UACGUAGGUGGCAAGCGUUGUCCGGAUUUACUGGGCGUAAAGAGCGCGCAGGCGGUCGGAUAAGUCGAAUGUGAAAUCUCCCGGCUCAACUGGGAGGGUGCGCCGAAUACUGAAUGACUAGAGUGCGGGAGAGGAGAGUGGAAUUCCUGGUGUAGCGGUGAAAUGCGUAGAUAUCAGGAGGAACACCGGUGGUGUAGACGGCUCUCUGGACCGUAACUGACGCUGAGGCACGAAAGCGUGGGUAGCAAACAGG
rnacentral:rRNA from 1 species